rnacentral:lncRNA from 1 species
AGAAUAUCUAAACUGCUUCAUCAGUGUGAUGAGGCAUCUCCAGCAUCAGUGAAUUUCAGCAGAGAGCUUUGCGUGAAUGAAUUCCUGCAGUCCUGCACUGAGGAACACCAUGUGUAUCUGUCCCAGACUGGAGCCUGUAAUCGUUUAGCUACCAUUCAAAGGAGAUUCAGGACUCACAGCUCACAUCUAGAAUGGUCAGCUAAUCCCAGGGGGUUUAGUGAAACUCAAGGCCAUGGCUUUAGACAGUCAUUGGUUAUAUUCAGCUUGGAGAGAAAGCAAAUUGGAUAUUCCUAUGAAGGACACCAUUUACUGAGAUGAAAAUGAAAGAACAGAUACAACAGCUUGGAAGAAUAAGAAAGCUUGUUUCACCAUGUGGCUACAACAACUUCAUCUUCUUAGCUUAAAGAAGGAAUGUGCUUUAGACCCUCCUUAUUGUUUCCAUUCUCCAUGCUUAGCUAUACUGGAGCAUAGAACCCUCUCAGAGUGCAACAGACAGACCCCUUAAGUUGAAAGUAAGGUGAAAUAUAUGCUCCAGGCCAACACAUAAUGUGCUCCAACAGUUAAAAAAGCAUCUUAUCCUGAGGAUCAAGUUAGAGUUGUUCUAAAAACCACACAAAGAAUAAAGGAUGGCUAUUAGGUCAUUAACAAAAAUGGUUUUCUUCCAAUUACAAUCUUCAACAGGAUAAUCUGGUGCUCUUGCUGCACCACCUCACUUGAAAAUGCAAACAUAGCCAGAAGCUAUGUAUGUCUCUAAGAAGCACAUUCAAAUGUGCAAGAUCAUUGCCUCUACCUGACAGUUUGCCUUCCAGAACACCAAUGAUUUCUCCUUUAUUUAUGAACCUGGGGAUUGUUCUUUGUGAAGCCUCUGUGACAAAGGGAGAGGAAACAAGCAAGAAGACAAGUUGGUGGAGGAACGAGGACCAGAUCCAGCUUGCUGGAUACCAGCUCCAGGUCUUUAGACCAGAGCACCAUGUGUGGGCCAUUCUUGACCCACAUACUGCUGGGUGCUGUAACUAAAUGAAUAAUAAUAAUAAUAAUAAAGUGACACAACCAUAAGAUGACCA